UAGCCCUACGGAGUGCUCAGGUCCGCCGCAUCUCCUGGGUCCGUGGGGUUCGGCCGGUUCGAGUUCGGUGCGAGUGGCCUCCUCAUGACAUCGCGCUCGGCCGGCCACCUU
rnacentral:sRNA from 1 species